UAGGGAAUCUUCCGCAAUGGGCGAAAGCCUGACCGAGCAACGCCGCGUGAGUGAAGAAGGUUUUCGGAUCGUAAAGCUCUGUUGUUAAGGAAGAACGAGUGUGAGAAUGGAAAGUUCAUGCUGUGACGGUACUUAACCAGAAAGGGACGGCUAACUACGUGCCAGCAGCCGCGGUAAUACGUAGGUCCCGAGCGUUGUCCGGAUUUAUUGGGCGUAAAGCGAGCGCAGGCGGUUAGAAAAGUCUGAAGUGAAAGGCAGUGGCUCAACCAUUGUAGGCUUUGGAAACUGUUUAACUUGAGUGCAGAAGGGGAGAGUGGAAUUCCAUGUGUAGCGGUGAAAUGCGUAGAUAUAUGGAGGAACACCGGUGGCGAAAGCGGCUCUCUGGUCUGUAACUGACGCUGAGGCUCGAAAGCGUGGGGAGCGAACAGG
rnacentral:rRNA from 1 species